rnacentral:lncRNA from 1 species
UGUCCAUUUGUUAGAUAUAUGAAUUUUGAUCAACUACAACUAUUGAAGUGAUCUAUAGAAAUGAUCUAAUCCUAAUUAACUUUUAAUUAGAUUUGACCAAUUUUUUAACUUAGUCCAUAUUUAAUCUAACCCUAGGUCUAACCCAGUAAAUGACCUGAUCAAAGCUAACCCAUUACCCUUUAACCCAUGUUUUAUGAAAUUAUCUUAGGAUC